rnacentral:lncRNA from 1 species
CUUCCUCUCCGCUCCCUUCCCAACCAAGAAGGACACGCAGAACUUUGCUGGAGAGAUCAAUGUUUCUAGAACACCCUGAAACAAAAGUCCUGAUAUGUGCAAAUAAUACACACCCACAAAAGAAAAUAACCUCUUUGCGCUGACACCCUGCCUCUCCGAAGAGGACGUUUUCUCCCUACUUGGAAUUUCCAUCAGCACCUGGGUUGGUACCAAACUCAGGACGUGGUGGACACGCUCUCUGACUCUGUAUUUCAGGAAGCUGCCAAUCAAUAGAGAUUUAAAGCUUCUGACUUCCGCAUAUCCGAAUACCAGGUAGGAAACAUCUGCUUUGGAGUAAGAGAAGGCCCCAGUACCUGCUUUUUCUCCGGAACCGUGAGAGGGAGCCAUGGGGAGGAGACCAGAAUUUCAGCCUUCCUAUCUCCCUUUACCACAAGGACGCCUUGAGGACCCAAGUCAAAUUGAGAUCUUUCAACCACGGGCUCGGAAACCCGCUUUCUGUGUCCACUUCAACCAAACACGUCUAACAGGCAGGAAUUUAGAGGUGGCCAAGGACUAAGGAUAUCUCUGAAAGCCUCAAAGAUCAUCAAAAUGAAGUCCAACAUUUGCUGUUUUUAAGGUGAGAUAUUUGGUAACGGAGUAUGAGAGAACUGGCUAAGGGGGCUUUUUGACAUAAGUCAAACAAUGACAUUUAAAACUCACGUAAAAGCAAUUACUGUGUGGAAUUUUUCUGUGUUUUUCUCAUUUCUUAAACAGAAGUGUAUAUGUUUUCAGCAUAGCUUCUUGCUGUAAUUUUCUUUCUUGACAAACCCACAUCUUACCAUGAAACCCAAAGUAUGCAUGCUGCAGAAACAAUAAUGGUUGAAACAGACCCGGCUGUCUCUGGCAUGAUUUUUCUUUACAAAAUUAAAAUGUCUUUUGGCUAAUACACGUGUAUUUCAGUUAUGAAAGGCCAUUCUUGGGAGAUGAAUAGAAAAGAAAGGGGAACUGACAGAUUUAGCUGACGCGAGACAAAAUUACAUUAGCAGAGAGUUGACAAUUCUCCUCUGAAUGACUGCAAGUAGAUACGUUCGUAUCUAUUACAUCUGGGAACACAGACUUUUAAAAAAUGUAACUUUACUAGAUACUCAAAAGGAAAAAAGAAGAAGAAAGUGCAAUGCCAUUGAAAUUACACACAUUUUCAUGUUACUGACACAACACUAUUGAUACCAAAUGACAAAAGAGUUUCUAACCUCUAUUACAUACUUUGUUCAUUUUUAAAGAUGUUUAAAUUGGCAUUGCGGCGCGUCUAAGUUCCUGUUUUAGAUUUCUGCAUAUAUCUGAAGGCAGAGGCAGACUUUUCAAAAAUGCACGAGCAGGCACAACUGUGUUCUGACUACUAUCAUCCAAAGGCGAUGACAGCGCUGACGAAGCCCCUGGAUCCUGCCAAAGUUUGUCCCAAAGACGAGUCUCUCAGCCCCCACU